UAAAAUAAAUUCAGGUUCGGGUUCAGGUCGGAAACCAUCAAAAUCCAUAUCCGAAUCUAUAUACAUCGGAUUUUUAUUUUUGAUAUUCAUAUUCGAAACCAUAUCCGUUUAGCAUUUAGUAAAUCUGCUCCGUUCGAAUUCGGGUUCGAAUAAAAUUUCGGAUAUCCGUAUCCAUUGACAUUCCUGGUUAUUAGGGGUGAAAACAAAUAGGAUAUUAUCCGAAAAUAUCCGGAUCCGGAUAGAAAAUAUCUGGAUCGGAUCGGAUACGGAUACGGAUACGGAUACGGUUUUAUAGAGUUAAUUUUUUUCGGAUAUCCCAAAAAAUGAAUAUCGAUGUAGAUAUCCGGACUUUAGCAUUAUUAUUUUUAUAAUUUUUAUAUUUU
rnacentral:lncRNA from 1 species